GUAGGAUGACUUUCGAUUUCCAGAGCACAUCACCUCAAAAACUGCUAUUAAUAAGCAGUUAAACAUACAAUAUCGAAACCAUCGAUAUCGGCUUCACAAGUAUUUCCAGAGUUUUGAAUCAAGGCAAGAAGCAUUGAGGCAAGUUCCUGAAGGUGUGAGUGAAGAAGAUUGGAAGUGGCUGGUCAGCUACUUUGAAAAUGAUGAAUUUAAGAAAAUUAGUGAACGUAACAAGCAAAAUCGUGCCAAAAAUGACUGCUACACUACUGUUGGCACAAAAUCGCUUGCAAGAGUUGUUGA